GAAAACUCCGGUGGUAUACGAUGGAUCCGCGUCUGAUUAGCCAGUUGGCGGGGUAACGGCCCACCAAAGCGACGAUCAGUAGCCGGCCUGAGAGGGUGAACGGCCACAUUGGGACUGAGACACGGCCCAAACUCCUACGGGAGGCAGCAGUGGGGAAUAUUGCACAAUGGGGGAAACCCUGAUGCAGCGACGCCGCGUGAGUGAAGAAGUAUCUCGGUACGUAAAGCUCUAUCAGCAGGGAAGAAAAUGACGGUACCUGAUUAAGAAGCCCCGGCUAACUACGUGCCAGCAGCCGCGGUAAUACGUAGGGGGCAAGCGUUAUCCGGAUUUACUGGGUGUAAAGGGAGCGUAGACGGCAGCGCAAGUCUGGAGUGAAAUGCCGGGGCCCAACCCCGGAACUGCUUUGGAAACUGUGCAGCUCGAGUGCAGGAGAGGUAAGCGGAAUUCCUAGUGUAGCGGUGAAAUGCGUAGAUAUUAGGAGGAACACCAGUGGCGAAGGCGGCUUACUGGACUGUAACUGACGUUGAGGCUCGAAAGCGUGGGGAGCAAACAGGAUUAGAUACCCUGGUAGUCCACGCCGUAAACGAUGAUUACUAGGUGUCGGGGGGCCAAGGCCCUCCG
rnacentral:rRNA from 1 species